rnacentral:rRNA from 1 species
UACGUAGGGGGCAAGCGUUGUCCGGAUUCAUUGGGCGUAAAGAGCGUGUAGGCGGCCAGGUAGGUCGGUUGUGAAAACUGGAGGCUCAACCUUCAGAGGUCGACCGAAACCAUCUGGCUAGAGUCCGGGAGAGGAGAGUGGAAUUCCUGGUGUAGCGGUGAAAUGCGCAGAUAUCAGGAAGAACACCCGUGGCGAAAGCGGCUCUCUGGAACGGUACUGACGCCGAGACGCGAAAAGCGUGGGGAGCGAACAGG